AGGACGAACGCUGGCGGCGUGCUUAGCACAUGCAAGUCGAGCGAGGCCCUUCCUUCGGGAAGGUGUCCUAGCGGCGAACGGGUGAGUAACACGUGGGCAACCUGCCCUCAGCUCUGGGAUAACUCCGGGAAACCGGGGCUAAUACCGGAUACGACCUCUAAGGGCAUCCGAAGAGGUGGAAAGUUUUUCGGCUGAGGAUGGGCCCGCGGCCUAUCAGCUUGUUGGUGGGGUAAAGGCCUACCAAGGCGACGACGGGUAGCCGGCCUGAGAGGGUGACCGGCCACACUGGGACUGAGACACGGCCCAGACUCCUACGGGAGGCAGCAGUGGGGAAUAUUGCGCAAUGGGCGAAAGCCUGACGCAGCGACGCCGCGUGAGGGACGAAGGCCUUCGGGUUGUAAACCUCUUUCAGCAGGGACGAAGCGAAAGUGACGGUACCUGCAGAAGAAGCACCGGCCAACUACGUGCCAGCAGCCGC
rnacentral:rRNA from 1 species